UACGUAGGGUGCGAGCGUUACUCGGAAUUACUGGGCGUAAAGCGUGCGCAGGCGGCGCGUUAAGUCAGGUGUGAAAGCCCCGAGCUUAACUUGGGAAUUGCGCUUGUGACUGGCGUGCUGGAGUGUGGCAGAGGGAGGUGGAAUUCCACGUGUAGCAGUGAAAUGCGUAGAGAUGUGGAGGAACACCGAUGGCGAAGGCAGCCUCCUGGGCCAGCACUGACGCUCAUGCACGAAAGCGUGGGGAGCAAACAGG
rnacentral:rRNA from 1 species